GCAUCUGUAGUGCAGUUGGUUAUACACUUGCCUUCGGAAAAGGUGAAUUGCGGGUUCGAGUCACGCCUCUCGCUGAAGCU